GGCGGCAUAGCCAAGUGGUUAAGGCGGAGGUCUGCAAAACCUCUAUCCCCAGUUCGAAUCUGGGUGCCGCCUCCA
rnacentral:tRNA from 1 species